rnacentral:rRNA from 1 species
UACAGAGAGUGCGAACGUUGUUCGGAAUUACUGGGCUUAAAGCGCGCGUAGGCGGUGUUGUAAGUGUCAGGUGAAAUCCCACGGCUCACCCGUGGAACUGCCCGGCAUACUGCAAUGCUAGAGUGUGGUAGGGGAGAGCGGAACUCCUGGUGGAGCGGUGAAAUGCGUAGAUAUCAGGAGGAACACCGGUGGCGAAGGCGGCUCUCUGGUCCACAACUGACGCUGAGGUGCGAAAGCUAGGGGAGCAAACGGG